AGGGAGCUCGCACAGACCAGAGAGAGUGUA
rnacentral:piRNA from 1 species